rnacentral:rRNA from 1 species
CGAGCGAGCUUGCCUAGAUGAUUUUAGUGCUUGCACUAAAUGAAACUAGAUACAAGCGAGCGGCGGACGGGUGAGUAACACGUGGGUAACCUGCCCAAAAGACUGGGAUAACACCUGGAAACAGAUGCUAAUACCGGAUAACAACACUAGACGCAUGUCUAGAGUUUGAAAGAUGGUUCUGCUAUCACUCUUGGAUGGACCUGCGGUGCAUUAGCUAGUUGGUAAGGUAACGGCUUACCAAGGCAAUGAUGCAUAGCCGAGUUGAGAGACUGAUCGGCCACAUUGGGACCGAGACACGGCCCAAACUCCUACGGGAGGCAGCAGUAGGGAAUCUUCCACAAUGGACGAAAGUCUGAUGGAGCAACGCCGCGUGAGUGAAGAAGGGUUUCGGCUCGUAAAGCUCUGUUGGUAGUGAAGAAAGAUAGAGGUAGUAACUGGCCUUUAUUUGACGGUAAUUACUU